rnacentral:lncRNA from 1 species
UCACUUACAUGUCCACAUUCCAUAUCUGGGACCAGGCCUCUGAAGCUUGGUCCCACUCAUGCCUAGGCCUCUUGAGAGAGUCCGAGUCUCAAAGAAAGUUUGGAGAACAUGGCCAAGGAAUACAGCUCUCAAGCCUUUGCUCAUUAGUAGCAUAUAGAAGAACUUUUGAAAUUCAGCAUCUGGUGGAAAUAGAAGCAGACACCCACAACUAAUCACUGAACUGAACUGGAAUCCAGAUGCAGAAAAGGACGAGUGAAGAGCAAAGUGGUCCAGACCAGGCUGGUGAAACCCACAGAAACAGCUGACCUGAACACUGGGGAACUCUUGCUCCCCAGACUGAUAGCUGGGAUACCAGCAUGGGACUGAUCCAGACCCCAGGAACAUGGGUUUCAGUGAGGAAACCUCACAAAUCUACGGGACCUCCUAGUAGUUCAGUACUUAUCCCUAGCAUAGUUGUAGACUUUGGGAGCCCAUUCCACAUAGAGGAAUACUCCCUGAGCCAAGACACACAGGGUUGGGCCUAGGCUCUGUCUCAAAGGAUACAAUAGACUCUGAUGACACCCAAUGGAAUGCCUCACCAUCCAGGUGGGGCAGAAAGGAUAUGUGAUUGGUAGGGUUUUAGUUGCAGGGGAGGUAAAGGAGGACAGGAGGGAUAAGGGAACUGGGAUUUUCAUGUAAAACAAUCUUGUUUCUAAUUCAAAUAAAAAAUCUGC